UCUGGUGGCGAUAGCGAAGAGGUCACACCCGUUCCCAUACCGAACAUGGAAGUUAAGCUCUUUAGCGCCAAUGGUAGUUGGGACUUUGUCCCUGUGAGAGUAGGACGUUGCCAGGC
rnacentral:rRNA from 1 species